GACGAACGCUGGCGGCGUGCUUAACACAUGCAAGUCGAACGGAAAGGCCCUGCUUUUUUGGGGUGCUCGAGGGGCGAACGGGUGAGUAACACGUGAGUAACGUGCCCUUGACUUUGGGAUAACUUCAGGAAACGGGGGCUAAGAUCGGAUAGGAGCUCCUGCUGCAUUGUGGGGGUUGGAAAUUUUCGGCGGGUGGGGAUGGACUCGCGGCUUAUCAGCUUGUUGGUUGGGUAGUUGCUUGCCAAGGCUUUGACGGGUAGCCGGCCGGAGAGGGUGACCGGCCACAUUGGGACUGCGAUACGGCCCAGACUCCUACGGGAGGCAGCAGUGGGGAAUAUUGCACAAUGGGCGGAAGCCUGAUGCAGCAACGCCGCGUGCGGGAUGACGGCCUUCGGGUUGUAAACCGCUUUAGCCUGUGACGACGCGUGAGUGACGGUAAUGAGUAAAGAAGCACCGGCUAACUACGUG
rnacentral:rRNA from 1 species